UGGGGAAUAUUGCGCAAUGGGCGAAAGCCUGACGCAGCGACGCCGCGUGAGGGAUGAAGGUUUUCGGAUCGUAAACCUCUGUCAGAAGGGAAGAAACCGCACUGUGCUAAUCAGCAGUGCCUUGACGGUACCUUCAAAGGAAGCACCGGCUAACUCCGUGCCAGCAGCCGCGGUAAUACGGAGGGUGCAAGCGUUAAUCGGAAUUACUGGGCGUAAAGCGCACGUAGGCUGCUUUGUAAGUCAGGGGUGAAAUCCGACGGCUCAACCGUGGAACUGCCUUUGAUACUGCUUAGCUUGAAUCCGGGAGAGGGUGGCGGAAUUCCAGGUGUAGGAGUGAAAUCCGUAGAUAUCUGGAGGAACAUCAGUGGCGAAGGCGGCCACCUGGACCGGUAUUGACGCUGAGGUGCGAAAGCGUGGGGAGCAAACAGG
rnacentral:rRNA from 1 species